AGCGAACGCUGGCGGCAGGCCUAACACAUGCAAGUCGAACGAAGCCUUCGGGCUUAGUGGCGGACGGGUGAGUAACACGUGGGAACGUACCUUUUGGUUCGGAACAACUCAGGGAAACUUGAGCUAAUACCGGAUGAGCCCUUAGGGGGAAAGAUUUAUCGCCGAAAGAGCGGCCCGCGUUAGAUUAGCUAGUUGGUGAGGUAAAGGCUCACCAAGGCAACGAUCUAUAGCUGGUCUGAGAGGAUGAUCAGCCACACUGGGACUGAGACACGGCCCAGAAUCCUACGGGAGGCAGCAGUGGGGAAUCUUGCGCAAUGGGCGAAAGCCUGACGCAGCCAUGCCGCGUGAAUGAUGAAGGUCUUAGGAUUGUAAAAUUCUUUUACCAGGGACGAUAAUGACGGUACCUGGAGAAAAAGCCCCGGCUAACUUCGUGCCAGCCGCCGCGGUAAAAC
rnacentral:rRNA from 1 species